ensembl:lncRNA
UAUAUCUUUAUAUAUUCUAAAGGAAAUUAUUAAACAAAAGUAAACUUUUAAAAAGCGUUUUGAUGACGUGAUUGAUUCAGGAUUUUUUUUUUCUGUGACAUGGUAUCAUGGAGGGCAGACUGAAGAUGCAGAGGGGGCGUGGGUCAGGGUUUUUUUUUGUUUGUUUGUUUUUCUUGUACAUUUGUUUCAUAGAUAAACAAGCCAGAGGAAAAACAGCGCAGGCCAGUCUAUCACAAGAACACGAACGGCGAGAAAAAAGAAAAAAACCCAUCAGGACUCGAGCAGACUGCUAAUGAGUCAGAUGUGUGGUUCACUCUGCUGUUCACUUUGUUUCUCGUAGCUUGCCCUUUCAGCUCGCAGCGUUCUGCUCUUUCCUGUCUGCAGUCCAGCUCGCCUCAGCAGGGUUCUCCCUGGUUUCAGCUCCCAGCCCCCCUCUGGCCCUGGGCCACCUCUGCAGGCCGCCUGGGAGUGUGUGAGGGUGUGUGAGCGGCCGGGCUGAUCGAAUUUCCUCCUCAGACCCCCGUGGUCUGGACGGGAGCAUGUCACAGCCCGCACACACACUCACACACACACCCGCCAGGCCCUGUGUCUGUAUCUGAACUGACAGCUGCCUUACUUCUACUACUUCUCAUAUCUCAGCAACAGAAAGACAUCCGUCUCUCUUUCUUCUCUGCUCUCUCUCUCUUUCAUUCGCGCUUCUCGCUGUUCAUUUUUUUCCUCGCUCUGCUUCAGGCGCCGUCAGACUUCCUGCUAACGGCAGCGCGAUCUGACUGUCGCGAUAUAUAGCGGGGGCAAAGCGAUUGAUCGGAGUCUGGGUGAGACGCAGACUCUCCCUCAUCCUGUUUCAGGUCUGCAGACAAACAGCACAAAGAUUGCAUUUCUCUAUUUAGAAGAAGGAGAAAAGGUUUCUCGGUUUAUUUUUCUGAUGUUGUGAUUGUUCUCAUUGGGUUAUUUACCUCUCCAGCUGGCAUUAUGAUGAUGAUGAUUAAUAUUAUUAUUGUUAUUAUUCCAUGGCUCUGUUAGCUGUUGCUUUUUAUGUUGUGUACAUCACUUUGGAUGAUGUUGAUCGACCCCAAACUCCAUUCCCUGUUUUCAAACCUUCUAGCCUCCAACACCCCCCCCCCCCCCCCCCCCCCCCCCCCUUUGCUGUCUUUAGUUUUUGCAGAUGUAAUAUAACUAAAAUGUCUAAUAUUUGAUGCUGACAGAGAAAUAACAUCGGGUUUUGAGAGGGAGGGACAGUGGAGGAUUAUUUGGGGGGGGGGGAUUUUAUCCUUUUUUUUUGUCUUGUAAUUUUAAUUUUAUAAUGUUACUUUUUCUCUCUCUUGCUUGUAUAUUUUUUAUCUUUUUUCUUUGAGGGGGGAUGUUGUAUCAUUUUAAAAGACAUGUAUUGUUUUACCAUGUAAAGGUCUAUCUUUCAGUCUUUCACCCCCCCCCCAAGCAAUUACCUAACACUCAGAUGGAGACGAGAGUUAAUACCAUGAUGUAACAUUGAAUUUUUCCACUUCUUUCGUGUUUUUAUGUUAUUUUUUUCCCCAAACUUGUAAUUAAG